rnacentral:rRNA from 1 species
UAACCUGGCGGCGUGCCUAACGCAUGCAAGUCGAACGGGGAUAGUAAUAUCCUAGUGGCAAACGGGUGAGUAACACGUGGGAAUCUGCCCAGUAGUGGGGAACAACUCCUCGAAAGAGGAGCUAAUACCGCAUACGGUCGCAAGACUAAAGCCUUCGGGCGCUAUUGGAGGAGCCUGCGGCUGAUUAGCUAGUUGGUGGGGUAACGGCCUACCAAGGCGGUGAUCAGUAGCUGGUCUGAGAGGAUGGACAGCCACACUGGGACUGAGAUACGGCCCAGACUCCUACGGGAGGCAGCAGCGAGGAAUUUUCCGCAAUGGGGGAAACCCUGACGGAGCAACGCCGCGUGAACGAAGAAGUCUUUCGGGAUGUAAAGUUCUUUUCUGUGGGAAGAAUGAAGGACGGUACCACAGGAAUAAGCAUCGGCUAACUACGUGCCAGCAGCCGCGGUAAUACGUAGGAUGCAAGCGUUGUCCGGAAUUACUGGGCGUAAAGGGCGAGCAGGUGGCACUACAAGUCUGAUGUAAAUCUCCCGGCUUAACUGGGAGGGGCCAUUGGAAACUGUAAACUGGAGUGCAGGAAAAGCUAACGGAAUUCCCCGUGUAGUGGUGAAAUGCGUAAAUUCGGGAGGAACACCA